rnacentral:lncRNA from 1 species
GCUGAACAACCCCAGCUCAUACACAGGAGAUGCUCCAGACCCCUCAUCAUCUUUGUGGCCCUCCACUGGACUAUCUCCAGCAGUUUCCUCUCUUGAUCUGUGUCACCCGUAACUGGACACAGUACUCCAGAUGUAGCCUCCCCAGGGCAGAGAAGAUGGGGAGGAUCGCCUCCAUGCUCUACUGGCCAUGCUCUCCCCAGUGCACCCCGGGAUACCAUUGGUCUUCUUGGCCACCAGGGCACCCUGCUGGCUCAUGGACAACCUUUUGGCCACAGGGACAUCCAAGUCCUUCUCUGGAGAGCUCCUCUCCAGCAGGCCAUGGACAGUAAAAAAGACUGGAGAAAGAAAGGAGUAAACGUCCUUGGGAACUGCAUAUUUAGCUCAUUUCUGGAUUUCAAACACAAGGGACUAUUCUUCAUGCACUGACUUGAUAUGUUUUGUAUGUUGCUUGCUAUUUAUUCUCAAUUAAUUGUGUCACUUCUAACUGUCUGAUGCAAAGUAGGAGAUAACAGCAAUGGCACAGGCUGCACAGAAGAGCUGUGGGGUCUACGACUCUGGAGACAUUCAAAACCCUCCUGGACAUGUUCCUGCGUGACCUGAUCUAGGUGUUCCUCUUCCAGCAGGGAUAUUGGACUAGAUUAAUUACUAUUCUGAAUGUUUUCAUUGUGACCAAGCUAAUCCCCUAUUGUAUCACGGAGCCUCUACCUUGAGAACAAAUUACAGUAUAACCAGCACUAGUCAAGACUUACUACUACAGAGAAGAUUGAAGAUUAUUGCCCCAUCCCUGGAGGCAUUCAAGGCCAGGCUGGAUGUGGCUGUGGGCGUUCUGGUCUGGUGGUUGGCAACCCUGCACAUAGCAGGGGAGUUGAAACUAGAUGAGCACUGUGGUCCUUCUCAACCCAUUCUAUGAUUGUAUAAUUCUAUGAUUCCAUGAUUCUAUUAUAUAUAUCUAAUAAUGAAUUUAAGAUUGUGCUACUGUAUCUAUGCAUGUAUCCAUAUGACCAUAACUUGAAAAAUGGACUCAUUUUCUCUGAUCUUG